CGUCCUCUCAAAAAAAAGAGUGCCCCUCCCUCUUUGAUGCCGUCGCCGCCUCGCUUCCUUCUAGGCACCUCCAGCCUCCAGGGACCUCCAUAGCCAAGCUCCUUCACCGUCGCCGCUGUCUAGCCAUCCUGUGUUUCUCUUUCUCCGACGGCACCGCGUGCUCCCUUCUGUGCUUCCCCUCCAAUCCUCCAUGGGUGAACUCGGCCUAGGGUUUCACAUCCUUGCCGCAGCGUUGGACAGUUAAGAGGCAAUGGCGACGGACCUCUUCUGUGUCAACCGGCAAAUUAUAUCUUUCGUGUCACGAGCAUGCAUUAUUUCCUUGCACUUGAGUGAAUCCAAUGUUCACGAACUUCAGAAUGACUCUGCUCUUGCACUGGCUGGUUUUAGAAUAGACUAGUGAUGAAAUGAAAUGCUGCUCUGAACCUCGUACGAGUACGAAGCAAUCAUGUGCCAUGUACUCUGCAUCUUUCUCAGUCUCUUCUUGCACAGAAAGCAGAUGUUUCAGGUUGUUGUUCUUUUCUUCUUGCCAUGGUAAUGAAGUUAAUGAUGGUGAUGGUUUUUAGGUGAUACAGUGAUUAGAUAUGCAAUCUCUAAGAUGACGUUAGGAAAGAGCAGAUGCAUAUGUCGAGGUUUAAACAAUAGCUAUGUUGAACCCAAACUAAUUAAUCGUCAUAACUUUGAGCACACAUAUUGUAACCUGUAGCUUUUGAUGUGCAUAUUCAGGUAUAUGUAUAGGAUUUCAAUUGUUGCCUUGAGUUCCUUGUCUGGUUCAGUAAUUCAAGGUUAUUCAAAUAUCAAAAUUAUUCUGGGAUCACGGUUCCUAUCAUAAUUGUAAGGUAUAUUCCAAUUUUGAAUUCUCAUCGAUUUUGUUUCU